rnacentral:rRNA from 1 species
CGCCUUCAUGAAGUCGGAAUUGCUAGUAAUGGCAGGUCAGCAUACUGCCGUGAAUACGUUCCCGGGCCGUGUACACACCGCCCGUCACACCAUGAGAGUUGGAGAUACCCGAAGCCUAUGAGCUAACUUUUAGAGGCAGUAGUCAAGGUAGAAUCAAUGAUUGGGGUGAAGUCGUAACAAGGUAUC